ensembl:lncRNA
GGAGAGUGGUGGAGAGGGAGAGUGGUAGAGAGGGAGAGUGGUAGAGAGGGAGAGUGGUAGAGAGGGAGAGUGGUAGAGAGGGAGAGUGGUAGAGAGGGAGAGUGGUGGAGAGGGAGAGUGGUGGAGAGGGAGAGUGGUGGAGAGGGAGAGUGGUGGAGAGGGAGAGUGGUGGAGAGGGAGAGUGGGUGAGAGGGAGAAUGGUGGAGAGGGAGAGUGGUGGAGAGGGAGAGUGGUGGAGAGGGAGAGUGGUGGAGAGGAGAUGGUGGAGAGGGAGAGUGGUGGAGAGGGAGAGUGGUGAGAGGGAGAGUGGUGGAGAGGGAGAGUGGUGGAGAGGGAGAGUGGUGGAGAGGGAGAGUGGUAGAGAGGGAGAGUGGUAGAGAGGGAGAGUGGUAGAGAGGGAGAGUGGUAGAGAGGGAGAGUGGUAGAGAGGGAG